rnacentral:rRNA from 1 species
GACGAACGCUGGCGGCGUGCUUAACACAUGCAAGUCGAACGGAAAGGCCUGCUUUCCCUUGUGGAUUGCGGGUACUCGAGUGGCGAACGGGUGAGUAACACGUGAGUGAUCUGCCCCCAACUUGGGUAUAAGCCUGGGAAACUGGGUCUAAUUCCCGAUAGGACUGCAGGGUGGUGCCUGUGGUGGAAAACGAUUUUCUAGUGGUUGGGGAUGAGCUCGCGGCCUAUCAGCUUGUUGGUGGGGUAAUGUCCUACCAAGGCGGCGACGGGUAGCCGGCCUGGGAGGGUGGACGGCCACAUUGGACCGGCGAUACGGCCCAGACUCCUACGCGAGGCAGCAGUGGGGAAUAUUGCACAAUGGGCGGAGGCCUGAUGCAGCGACGCCGCGUGGGGGAUGACGGCCUUCGGGUGGUAAACUCCUUUCGACCGAGAGGAAGCCACCUGGUUGGAAGGGUGGUGACGGUAGUGGUAGAAGAAGCACCGGCUAACUACGUG